rnacentral:rRNA from 1 species
GUAAACGGCGGCCGUAACUAUAACGGUCCUAAGGUAGCGAAAUUCCUUGUCGGGUAAGUUCCGACCUGCACGAAUGGCGUAAUGAUGGCCAGGCUGUCUCCACCCGAGACUCAGUGAAAUUGAACUCGCUGUGAAGAUGCAGUGUACCCGCGGCAAGACGGAAAGACCCCGUGAACCUUUACUAUAGCUUGACACUGAACAUUGAGCCUUGAUGUGUAGGAUAGGUGGGAGGCUUUGAAGCGUGGACGCCAGUCUGCGUGGAGCCAACCUUGAAAUACCACCCUUUAAUGUUUGAUGUUCUAACGUUGGCCCCUGACCGGGGUUGCGGACAGUGUCUGGUGGGUAGUUUGACUGGGGCGGUCUCCUCCCAAAGCGUAACGGAGGAGCACGAAGGUUAGCUAAUCCUGGUCGGACAUCAGGAGGUUAGUGCAAUGGCAUAAGCUAGCUUGACUGCGAGCGUGACGGCGCGAGCAGGUGCGAAAGCAGGUCAUAGUGAUCCGGUGGUUCUGAAUGGAAGGGCCAUCGCUCAACGGAUAAAAGGUACUCCGGGGAUAACAGGCUGAUACCGCCCAAGAGUUCAUAUCGACGGCGGUGUUUGGCACCUCGAUGUCGGCUCAUCACAUCCUGGGGCUGAAGUAGGUCCCAAGGGUAUGGCUGUUCGCCAUUUAAAGUGGUACGCGAGCUGGGUUUAGAACGUCGUGAGACAGUUCGGUCCCUAUCUGCCGUGGGCGCUGGAGAAUUGAGGGGGGCUGCUCCUAGUACGAGAGGACCGGAGUGGACGCAUCACUGGUGUUCGGGUUGUCAUGCCAAUGGCACUGCCCGGUAGCUAAAUGCGGAAGAGAUAAGUGCUGAAAGCAUCUAAGCACGAAACUUGCCCCGAGAUGAGUUCUCCCUGAGACUUUAAGUCUCCUGAAGGAACGUUGAAGACGACGACGUUGAUAGGCCGGGUGUGUAAGCGCAGCGAUGCGUUGAGCUAACCGGUACUAAUGAACCGUGAGGCUUAACCUU